UCGAGCGAGCGGAACUAAAGAUUUACUUCGGUAAUGACGUUAGGAAAGCGAGCGGCGGAUGGGUGAGUAACACGUGGGGAAUCUGCCCCAUAGUCUGGGAUACCACUUGGAAACAGGUGCUAAUACCGGAUAAGAAAGCAGAUCGCAUGAUCAGCUUUUAAAAGGCGGCGUAAGCUGUCGCUAUGGGAUGGCCCCGCGGUGCAUUAGCUAGUUGGUAAGGUAAAGGCUUACCAAGGCGAUGAUGCAUAGCCGAGUUGAGAGACUGAUCGGCCACAUUGGGACUGAGACACGGCCCAAACUCCUACGGGAGGCAGCAGUAGGGAAUCUUCCACAAUGGACGCAAGUCUGAUGGAGCAACGCCGCGUGAGUGAAGAAGGUUUUCGGAUCGUAAAGCUCUGUUGUUGGUGAAGAAGGAUAGAGGUAGUAACUGGCCUUUAUUUGACGGUAAUCAACCAGAAAGUCACGGCUAACUACGUGCCAGCAGCCGCGGUAAUACGUAGGUGGCAAGCGUUGUCCGGAUUUAUUGGGCGUAAAGCGAGCGCAGGCGGAAGAAUAAGUCUGAUGUGAAAGCCCUCGGCUUAACCGAGGAACUGCAUCGGAAACUGUUUUUCUUGAGUGCAGAAGAGGAGAGUGGAACUCCAUGUGUAGCGGUGGAAUGCGUAGAUAUAUGGAAGAACACCAGUGGCGAAGGCGGCUCUCUGGUCUGCAACUGACGCUGAGGCUCGAAAGCAUGGGUAGCGAACAGGAUUAGAUACCCUGGUAGUCCAUGCCGUAAACGAUGAGUGCUAAGUGUUGGGAGGUUUCCGCCUCUCAGUGCUGCAGCUAACG
rnacentral:rRNA from 1 species